rnacentral:rRNA from 1 species
AGAUUGAACGCUGGCGGCAUGUCUUACACAUGCAAGUCGAACGGCAGCACGGGGGCAACCCUGGUGGCGAGUGGCGAACGGGUGAGUAAUGCAUCGGAACGUGCCCAGUAGUGGGGGAUAACUAGUCGAAAGGAUUAGCUAAUACCGCAUACGACCUAUGGGUGAAAGCGGGGGAUUCGCAAGAACCUCGCGCUAUCGGAGCGGCCGAUGUCUGAUUUAGCUAGUUGGGACGGGGUAAAAGCCCGACCAAGGCUUCGAUCAGUAGCUGGUCUGAGAGGACGACCAGCCACACGUGGGACUGAGACACGGCCCAGACUCCGUACGGGAGGCAGCAGUGGGGAAUUUGGACAAGUGGGCGCAAGGCCUGACUCCAGACCAUGACCGCGGUGGACGGGAAGACGGUCCGUUUCGGGUUCGUAAACCGUCGUUUU